rnacentral:rRNA from 1 species
CGUCGCAAGACAAAGAGGGGGACCUUCGGGCCUCUUGCCAUCGGAUGUGCCCAGAUGGGAUUAGCUAGUAGUGGGGUAACGGCUCACCUAGGCGACGAUCCCUAGCUGGUCUGAGAGGAUGACCAGCCACACUGGAACUGAGACACGGUCCAGACUCCUACGGGAGGCAGCAGUGGGGAAUAUUGCACAAUGGGCGCAAGCCUGAUGCAGCCAUGCCGCGUGUAUGAAGAAGGCCUUCGGGUUGUAAAGUACUUUCAGCGGGGAGGAAGGGAGUAAAGUUAAUACCUUUGCUCAUUGACGUUACCCGCAAAGAAGCACCGGUAACUCCGUGCCAGCAGCCGCGGUAAUACGGAGGGUGCAAGCGUUAAAUCGGAAUUACUGGGCGUAAAGCGCACGCAGGCGGUUUGUUAAGUCAGAUGUGAAAUCCCCGGGGUUCAACCUGGGGACUGUCUGGAUAACUGGGAAGCUUGGGAGUCCCCGGAAAAGGGGGGGGUAAAAUUCCCCAGGGGGUGUUACGGGGUGAAAAUGGCGGGUUAAAAUCCGGGGNAGGGAAAUACCCGGGGUGGGAAAAAGGGGGGGCCCCCCUGGGACAAACUGGGA